rnacentral:lncRNA from 12 species
GGACUGGAUCAUCUGCCUUUGCUUAUUAUACUGCAACAGGAACAGCCUGAUCUGAAAACAGUGGCCAGCUCCUUGAGUCUUGCUCUGUACUUUGGAGGACAAAGGGCACAGAUCUUCUGGUGCAACCAGCUAUGAAGAGAAGAAGCUGUUCAGCCCAUUUGUUCUCCUUCA